rnacentral:rRNA from 1 species
CCUACGGGAGGCAGCAGUGGGGAAUAUUGGACAAUGGGCGAAAGCCUGAUCCAGCAAUGCCGCGUGAGUGAUGAAGGCCUUAGGGUCGUAAAGCUCUUUUACCCGGGAUGAUAAUGACAGUACCGGGAGAAUAAGCUCCGGCUAACUCCGUGCCAGCAGCCGCGGUAAUACGGAGGGAGCUAGCGUUGUUCGGAAUUACUGGGCGUAAAGCGUACGUAGGCGGUUAUUCAAGUCAGAGGUGAAAGCCCGGGGCUCAACCCCGGAACUGCCUUUGAAACUAGAUAGCUAGAAUCUUGGAGAGGUCAGUGGAAUUCCGAGUGUAGAGGUGAAAUUCGUAGAUAUUCGGAAGAACACCAGUGGCGAAGGCGACUGACUGGACAAGCAUUGACGCUGAGGUACGAAAGCGUGGGGAGCAAACAGGAUUAGAUACCCUGGUAGUCCACGCCGUAAACGAUGAUAACUAGCUGUCCGGGUACUUGGUAUCUGGGUGGCGCAGCUACGCAUUAAGUUAUCCGUCCGUCGGGUAGGUACGGUCGCGAGAAGUUAAACGUUAAAGUAAAGUUAGACGGCGUGUAAGUACGUGUUCCGACGGACGACGACGAGGGAGGUUAGG